CACAAAUGGAAAUGGAUUCGUGUUUGGGGAGAGUCUGGUGUGUGUGUUUGUGGGAUGGGGGGGCUGGGCCGGAGGCCCAAGGAGCGGACCGCAGGCUCUGUCGCCCACCCGGCCCAGCAAGCUAUGUGCCCUCCAGGAGUGGCAGAUGCCCGUGAGCAGACAUGAGCCCAGCCCAGCCUGGACGAGCGCUGUGGGUGAAUAAUGGAUGCCAUCCUAGCGCGGGCAGUGCUGUGCUCACGUGGCCAGCCAGGCCCAGGCCACCUGCACAGUGGCCAGUGAGGGUGGGGCUGAGAGACACCCAGUGAAUGGGCUGUGGCCAGGUCCCUGCAUCACCCGGGCCCAGGGUACAGCUUGCAAGAGCCCUGAGGCCAGGGUCGAGGUUGAGGACAGCAGGGCGGGCUCGCAGCCGAGUGGCCCCUGGGACAGGGGAGGAGGCCACUGUGAGCCGCCAUUGAGACUUUUAUUGGAGUGAAAUGGGGGCUCAGGCGGCUGAUGGAGGAGGCAUGUGACCUACAUAAGGUUUUCAAAAGAUUGUUUGCUGGAUGGGGGCUCUGAUGCCAGGGGAGCUGGGUACGGGUCCCAGCGAGAGGAGACCACCUCGAUCUGAGCAGGUGGUGGCUGGGAGGGCAGGAAGCAUUAGAGCCAGGUGUGGCUGGAAGGCCCAACCACAUGGGUUUGCUGACUGAUCCGCUGUUGGGGCGGAGGCACAUUUAUGAAAAGGGGAAGGACUCGGGUUGAGCCCUCCUGCCCCUCACUGCCAUCCUCCCCAUGCACACCACAGUCUGAACUCCCUCGAGGCAGAGAGCCCUGGCCUCUGCACUUGCACACUGACUCACGCAGAGCCUGGGGCUGCCUGGGCCUGAUGGAGCUGGCAGGCAGGGACUGUCUUUUUCCUGGAGGACUUCCUGGUGGAGGCCUGCUGCAGUUGGAGGCCUGAAGCACAGCGGACAGCCCCAGGCGUGUGUGGCACACCCAACACCCCCAUCCUUCCCAUGAGCCAGGACAUGGCCCGGGGGGCCUCUCUCCGAGGGAAGUGUGCCACCAUCAGGACGUGGGGUUCAGGAAGCAGCCCAGGCUGAAUGGAGGAGAAUGGAGGCAGGAAGGCCAGGAAGAAGUUGAAGCUGCCUUCCCAGCGACAGGUGAGGCUGGGGGCUCGGCUGAGCCGCACCAGAGGAUCGCGCAGGGCCUGGGGGCUGUCCACCUAGGCAUGGAGAACAGGCCCGGAGGAGAGGGCCACAAGCCCAGCAGUGAGUUUAGGAGCCCUAGAGCCCAGAGCCACCGUCCCAGGCCAGAGCUGAGCACCUGCUGGGAUUUGUGCCUGCUGGAAGAUGCCCUCCUCAGAUCCCCUCACCCCUGUCCCAGGGCCUACCACCCCAUCACCCACACUGAGCCAUGAGGGGUCAGAACAGACAUGGGCUGUGGUCCGGCAGCUGCCCGCACCCCUAUGCACAGAGCCAC
rnacentral:lncRNA from 1 species